rnacentral:rRNA from 1 species
CCCUCCGGGGGCACCCCGGGGGAAUCUUUCGCAAUGGGGCAAAACCCGAUGCUGGGCACCCGCGGGAGGGAUGAAACCCUUCCGGUGUGAAAGCUUUGUUCACUUGGAAGAAAUUAACCGCUGUUAAUAGCGUCGUAGUUUGACGGUACCACCGAAAGAAGCACCGGCUAACUUCGUGCCAGCAGCCGCGGUAAUACGGAGGGGGCAAGCGUUAUUUGGAAUUAUUGGGCGUAAAGAGCGCGUAGGCGGUUUUUUAAGUCAGAUGUGAAAACCCCCGGCUCAACCCCGGAAGUGCAUUUGAAACUGCCCGUCUUGAGUACGGCAGAGGGAAGUGGAAUUCCCGGUGUAGCGGUGAAAUUCGUAGAUAUCGGGAGGAACACCAGUGGCGAAGGCGACUUCCUGGGCCGUUACUGACGCUGAGGCGCGAAAGCGUGGGGAGCAAACAGGAUUAGAUACCCUGGUAGUCCACGCCGUAAACCUCUUCCCUAGGUGUAGCGGGU